rnacentral:lncRNA from 1 species
GCUCAGCGGUCUGCGAACAUCUCGGCUCACGGGGAGAUACCCCCCCAGGGAGGGAUCUCCACGCACAGAGCCUUCCCAGCCGCUCUCAGCCCUUCCAUGAGGUCUCAGAGCAGUGCGGGCAGGCUCCGCCCCUCCCGCUCACACCGCUGCACCGCCUCCAGCUGUGCCGCCAGGGCUGCCCGCUCCUUUCCCAGGUGCUCCAUCGCUGGGUCAAGCCGGGACUCGGCAGCUCCCAUUGGGGCACGAAGAGGCCGAGGCGGCCGACGGCAAACGGCGACCGUCCCGCGGGAACCGCGAGACACGGGAGAGGAUCUCAGCCGUCGGCCGGGCGGCGCUUCGCCCACGGGGACAGCGGGCAGCAACCGCGGGAAACGCGGCCCGGUGCGUCCGCAGGCCGUGAAGCAGCGCAGGAAGCGCAGGGACACGGCGGGGAACGACCCCGGCGGACUGAGCGGCGCGUCGCUCUGUGACGUCAUCACGGCCCGCCGCGGCGCCCGGUGAUGACAUCACAUCCGGCCUGGAGCGGAAGCGCAAUGUGGACGGGCGUGGAAGGGGAGGGGGCUGAUGGAGAAAGAAUGGCGGUGCUUCCGUGCCUGGGGCAGCGCUCCCGUCCCGUCCCGUCCCGUCCCGUCCCACAACGCUGCGGGAAGCGAUGGCAGCGGCUGCAAUAGAGCACGCUUUGCUUACUGCAAACUCCGCGUCUUUACGAUGGGCAGCGGCUUGGCAGGAUGGGCAGAGAAAGAAAUCGAAGGAGUCCCGAAGGCGUGUGACUCCCUGAAGGUAUUGGCCAGUGCAGAUCCCGGGAAGGUUGUGGCUGUGCAGAGGCCUCUUCUGCACGGAGGCACUGGGUGAGCUGCCAGCAGCUUCCAUUGCUGCCCAGCUAAGCGUACCCGAAGUCAUGGGCUGUACCUGAAGGGGGCCUCCAGGAAAGCUGGGAUGGGGCUGUUUUGUAAGGGCGUGGAGCGACAGGAGGAGGGGAAAUGGCUUUAGAGUGGAAGAGGGUGGAUUUAGACAGUGGAGCAGGUUGUGGAUGCCCCCGCCCUGUGAGCAGCCUGGUGUGGUGGGAGGUGUCCCUGCCUUCAGCCGGGGAUGGAAGUGAAUGGUCUGAAAGGUCCCUUCCAACCCAAACCAUUCUAUGGUUCUUUGUAAACUGCAGGGAAUUGCAGAGGAGAAUGGCUUUAAGAAGCCAAUAGCACUAGAGAUGCAGCGUGCAGUUCAGAGAGCACCUCUGUGCAGUGAGGUCAGAGCGUGCCUGAAACAAUACGACCUGGACAGAGAGUGGCUCAGAAUGAUGACAGAAUCAUAGAGGCACAGGGCUGGAAAGGACCUACAGGAUCAUCCCAUCCAACUGUCCUCCAAUCACCAUCACCACCGCUGAGGUCCUCAGCCUCAUCUCGUAGCACCUCAUCCACAAUGUCAGUGGUUUAUGGGCUGGUUCGGCCCGGUUCCCUGAGUAGCGGGGCAGAGGGACCCGCGGAUCGACACCCCAGAAAAGGGGAACAGGGAAAAGGAUAGCGAGAUGGGCCCAAAAACAACACGGCAGCAACGAUCUGAGCAGAAACAAAGUAAUUGACUAGAAACGACAUCGGGCUGCAAGAAAAUACACUGUAAUACAACAGCAGCACUGGCACAAGGUUGGUGGUGAUGGGAUCUCUCAUUGUGGGUGCGCAUUUUGCUUCCAGAGGACGUAGUGGUCAGCUCUGCUGCAGACCCAGUGCUUGUGUAGGUGGCACAGGGAUGAGCUGAUCCUGUCCCCGUUCAGGUACGCACAUCGGCCUCCACCUCGCAGCUCGAACCUGUGCCCAAGAGGGAGGAGAAUGGGAAAGCUGCCCCGAUGCACUGAGAAAAGCUGGGGCUGCCUCUUCUGGGGAAGGAAGGGCAGAACGGGCUCAUGGUGGAGCACCAAGCCUGAGCCUGGCGGGCCACGGUAAACCACGGCUGUGGCACCAGGAGAAGGUCCCCAUCCCAAAGAGAGCCUGUGGGAAGUCAUGGCCUGGACAGCUGGACAGACAGACUGACCAGUUGGUGAAGGCUGUGCCAUCGCUCCAUGUCCACUGGGCGUCCUCUUCUUCCCUGUGCAGCCCGAUCCAACAGUUUGCCGGGCCCUGGAAGCGCAUCAUGAAAUCCUUUAAAGGAAGAGAGUGUUGAAUGUCAGGAGGUUUUAGCAUCUGUCCCACCCACAUCUCAGGCUCCAGCAGGCUGCAAGGCGCUGCGUUCUGCUGCAUGGAAGAAGCUUGUUUGUGCUUCCAUGGCACAAGAGCUGCCCCCGGAGGUGCACAUCUUGGGAUGUCCCCCAGAUGGAUGAGGGAGGGGUGGGGGGCAGUAAUGUGCUGCUGUCCCUCCCCAGCCUGGUGUCUUCCCCAGAGCUUUGGGCUCGUGUCUUCGUCUCACCAUCUCAUCUUCACUGUCUAUAGAGGCCAGGGAAGCUCCGUGGGCAUUGCAGUGCUCCCUGCUGCUGUUCCAAUCAUUCUCCUCCUUCGAAAAAUAAUAGCAUUUCCCCUGGAAUCCGACCCAGGCGUUGGGGCACGCGUGGGCAAAGUCUGGGAAAGGUGGCACAGGGACCUGCCGACAUGCUGAAAUGAGGAAUUGGACAAAUGUGAGGCAAAGGGCAGGAAAUCUGCAUUUCUCUCACCUCCCUCCAACAGAGGUUGGGUAUGGGCUGCACUGUGUUGUGCUGCAGCCCCGGGUGCAGUUGCAGAUGUUGGGAAGGUUGAGCAGAGCGUGGUGUAGGGCACCGAAUGGCUGCCCCAUAGCACGUGGGAGCAGGGCUGUGCUUGGGGAGCACAUCCAUGUGCUGGAAACCCCAAAUCCCUGCUCUGUACCCAAACCUGAAACAUUCUCUCACCAUGGGGACACUUCUUGGCACUCACCGGUCGAUAUCACCACCAGCACAAGGCUAAGGGUUCCCAGUGCUGCACAUGCAGCAAUGAGCUGCACACGGGAUCUCCUCCUUCCUGUCCCAUGGCACCAGGAGCCUGGGGGGCAGAGAGUGGGUGGGGACACGCCCUUCUACUCCUGUUCCCCCCCAUGCCCUCCUUCCUGCUCAGUCCCCACCAUUACCCCAUUGGGAUCGUUCUCCACUCUGCCCAAGGGGCUGCAGUGCUGCUUUGUGCUCUGAAAAUGUUUCCUGUUGGUCUCCUUCUCCCAUAGCGGGUGUGGAAGUAUUGGACUCCAGCACCGAUAUGUGCACAUCCUCUUCUGGGAGCUGGGGGUCAGAACUGGAGGGCAGAUGUUGGUAGAAGUGGUUUUCCUCUUUAUGUUUCCCUUUUUUCCACCCAUUCCACUCUUUUGCUCCCCAUCCCCAGCCUUACCUUGUUGGGAUCCUUCUCCUCUGGUGUGCUGGGGGUUCUGGUGCUGCUUUGUGCUCUGACGAAUGGUUCAGUCGUUCUCCCUCUGCAGGCGUGGAAACCUUGUGCUUCAGUAUUGGUAUUUGCACAGACUGCUGUGGGGUGGACAGUUAGGAUGGGGGGGAUAGAAGGAAGGACUGAAGGAGGGGCUCGGGAGGAUUAGAAAGGAGGUAGAAAAAGGAGAGAGGAAGGGGAGUGGAAAGAAGGAAAGAGAGAGGAGCAAGAGGAGCAGGAAGGAGUUCAGUGCAGUGUGAAAUGUGAAGACGUGAAGCCAAAGAUGGUGUUGGUACCAUUCAGCUGAGCAGCGUGUGCAGGCAGAGGAUCUGUCUGGGGAAGCCAAACCACGCCUACAGAGCAUUCCUGUGGACAUGCUACAUCUUUCAAAGUUCAUUUUGUUUGGUUCACACAGUUGGUGGGAGGUCCUUCGCAGUACAGAGCCCAACCCACACAGCUGUGCUUGGCUCUGAGCCAUCAUGGGGGGAAAGGAGAACCCGCACCUGUUGGUUAUACCCAAGGAAUUGAUCCAGACACUAUCUCUGAUCAAAGCGGGCUUUAUUCACCACUGCAAUGCCGGCUGUCCCGCAUACAGCAGCGCACACAGAAAGCAGCGUUAUGUCUCUUAUGCCCAGCACCACGGUGAAGCCCUUUGCUCCCUGGGCCCUCCUCGCCCACCUUGGAGCUCGGGCUGAUGUUUGCAGCUUUGUGAGAAACACGCUCCAGGUCUACAAUUUCGAAUCAGGCCGAGAUCUCUGCGAAGAGCAGUGUGUCCAUGAUUGCAACAACGGGCGCACGCCCCCUACUGCCAAGGCAGAAAUUGCGCUCCUGAUCAGUGAAAUCCACUCCGUUAUCUCCCCUGGGUCCAACACAGGCAAAGCCUCUCCUGGCACUCAUUGGUUGAGCAUCUCAGGCUCACAAUGGUCCGAAGCUGUUGCUCCAUUAUGUUUCCAUACAACGUCUGUUAGCAACCCAUUGUCUUUGGGUAUGUUCUGUACCUUUUAGGGAGAUAGGAGGACAACAUUUCCAACAGUCUGCACACUCCUUCUG